GGACUACUGGGGUAUCUAAUCCUGUUUGCUCCCCUUGCUCUCGCGCCUCAGCGUCAGGAAUAAGCUAGAAAAUCGCUUUCGCCACCGGUGUUCUUCCACAUAUCUACGCAUUUCACCGCUACACGUGGAAUUCCAUUUUCUCCGCCAAUCCUCAAGAUCCGCAGUCUUAAUUGCAGCUCCGAAGUUGAGCUUCGGAAUUUCACAAUUAACUUGCACAUCCGCCUACGCGCCCUUUACGCCCAAUAAAUCCGAUUAAUGCUUGCACCCUCCGUAUUACCGCGGCUGCUGGCAC
rnacentral:rRNA from 1 species